UCGCGCCACAAGGUGAGGAAAGUCCGUGCAUUCAAGGAUAGGUCGCCGGAGAAACUCCGGACAGCGUGAGCUGGUGGAUCGGACCACAGAAAGGGUAGAAAUACCAAAAGACUGCCGAUGGAUUAUAUCACAGGCGAUGGUGCAAAGGUAAGGUAAGAGCUUACCAGUAACACUGAGAAGUGUUAGCUAGGCAACCCCCGACCGAAUGCAAGAUUGAAAUAAGCGUUAUCAGGUAUCCGCCGAGCUUAAAAAAUCGCUAGAGAUUAGGAGUAAUCCUAAUACCAGAUAGAUGAUUAUCUAAAAACAGAACACGGCUUAUGAGCUACUUU
rnacentral:RNase_P_RNA from 1 species